rnacentral:rRNA from 1 species
UACGUAGGGUGCGAGCGUUGUCCGGAAUUAUGGGGCGUAAAGAGCUCGUAGGCGGUCUGUCGCGUCGAUCGUGAAAACUUGGGGCUUAACCCUGAGCUUGCGGUCGAUACGGGCAUGACUGGAGUUCGGCAGGGGAGACUGGAAUUCCUGGUGUAGCGGUGAAAUGCGCAGAUAUCAGGAGGAACACCGGUGGCGAAGGCGGGUCUCUGGGCCGAUACUGACGCUGAGGAGCGAAAGCGUGGGGAGCGAACAGG